rnacentral:rRNA from 1 species
GCACAGAAGUUAGCCGUCCCUUCCUCUUUCGCUACUAUCAGCUCGUGCGCUGUUCACGCAUGACGUUUGAUCGCAAAUGACAGGGGUUUACGGGCCGAAGCCAUUCAUCCCCCACGCGGCGUCGCUCCUUCAGGCUUUCGCCCAUUGAGAAAAAUUCUCGA